rnacentral:snRNA from 1 species
GGGCUCCCUCUGGCAGCACACAUACCCAAAUUGGAAUGAUCCAGAAGUUAGCAUAGCUGCUGCACAAGGAUGACAUGUAAAAGUGUGUGGAUUGAGGCUCCACU